AAAAACAUUGCCCUUAGAUUUACAUAUUAAGGGUACGUCCUGCCCGGUGACAUGCGUGUUAAACGGCCGCGGUACCCUGACCGUGCAAAGGUAGCAUAAUCAUUCGCCUUUUAAUUGGAGGCUAGUAUGAAUGGAUAAACGAGGGUUUGACUGUCUCCUUUACUUCUACAGAAAUUAACCUCUAGGUGAAGAUGCCUGGAUAAAAAUGAAAGACAAGAAGACCCUGUUGAGCUUCACCUUAACUAUGUCUAAUAAUAAAUACUCUAACAAUUAUUCUUCAUACUCAGGUUUUGUUGGGGCGACAAGGGAAAAAAUCGAUCUUCCCAUUACCUAAAGACAUUUAGUCUCUUAAAUGACCCAAUCUAGAGUAAUUGAAUGAGUUACCACAGGGAUAACAGGCUAAUUCUUCUUGAGAGCCCACAUUAACAGAAGAGUUUGGCACCUCGAUGUUGGCUUGGGACAACCUAUGCGGUGCAGCAGCCCAAUAGGUAGGUUUGUUCAACCUAUAAUCUCCCACGUGAUCUG
rnacentral:rRNA from 1 species